AUUGAACGCUGGCGGCAUGCUUUACACAUGCAAGUCGAACGGCAGCACGGGUGCUUGCACCUGGUGGCGAGUGGCGGACGGGUGAGUAAUGCAUCGGAACGUGUCCUGAAGUGGGGGAUAACGCAUCGAAAGAUGUGCUAAUACCGCAUAUUCUCUGAGGAGGAAAGUAGGGGAUCGAAAGACCUUAUGCUUUUGGAGCGGCCGAUGUCUGAUUAGCUAGUUGGUAGGGUAAUGGCUUACCAAGGCGACGAUCAGUAGUUGGUCUGAGAGGACGACCAGCCACACUGGGACUGAGACACGGCCCAGACUCCUACGGGAGGCAGCAGUGGGGAAUUUUGGACAAUGGGCGCAAGCCUGAUCCAGCCAUGCCGCGUGAGUGAAGAAGGCCUUCGGGUUGUAAG
rnacentral:rRNA from 1 species